rnacentral:tRNA from 1 species
GGCCCUGUGGCGGAACUGGCAGACGCGGCAGAUUCAAACUCUGUUUCUUUGUGGAUUCGACUUCCAUCGGGGCUA